rnacentral:rRNA from 1 species
UACGUAGGGGGCAAGCGUUGUCCGGAAUUAUUGGGCGUAAAGAGCGCGUAGGCGGUCCGGUAAGUCGGUUGUGAAAGUCGGGGGGCUCAACCCUCGGAUGCCGAUCGAUACUGUCGGGCUAGAGUCCGGAAGAGGCGAGUGGAAUUCCUGGUGUAGCGGUGAAAUGCGCAGAUAUCAGGAGGAACACCAGCGGCGAAGGCGGCAUCCUGGACUGGUCCUGACACUCAGGAGCGAAAGCGUGGGGAGCGAUUCGG